UACGGAAGGCAGCAGUGGGGAAUAUUGCACAAUGGGCGAAAGCCUGAUGCAGCUAUGCCGCGUGUAUGAAGAAGGCCUUAGGGUUGUAAAGUACUUUCAUCGGGGAGGAAAAAACAAAACUAAUAAUUUUAUUUCUUGACGUUACCCGAAAAAGAAGCACCGGCUAACUCCGUGCCAGCAGCCGCGGUAAUACGGAGGGUGCUAGCGUUAAUCAGAAUUACUGGGCGUAAAGAGCACGUAGGUGGUUUUUUUAAGUCAGAUGUGAAAUCCCUGGGCUUAACCUAGGACUGCAUUUUGAAACUGAAAUACUAGAGUAUCGUAGAGGGAGGUAGAAUUCUAGGUGUAGCGGUGAAAUGCGUAGAUAUCUGGAGGAAUACCUGUGGCGAAAGCGGCCUCCUAAACGAAUACUGACACUGAGGGUGCGAAAGCGUGGGGAGCAAACAGGGAUUAGAUACC
rnacentral:rRNA from 1 species